rnacentral:rRNA from 1 species
UACGGAGGGGGCCAGCGUUGCUCGGAAUCACUGGGCGUAAAGGGCUCGUAGGCGGUCUGAUAAGUCCUGUGUGAAAUCCCUUGGCUUAACCAAGGAAUUGCGCCGGAUACUGUCGGACUAGAGGCCGGGAGAGGGAAGCGGAAUUCCGAGUGUAGCGGUGAAAUGCGUAGAUAUUCGGAGGAACACCGGUGGCGAAGGCGGCUUCCUGGACCGGUUCUGACGCUGAUGAGCGAAAGCUAGGGGAGCAAACAGG